rnacentral:rRNA from 1 species
UUCCGGUUGAUCCUGCCGGAGGCCAUUGCUAUCGGAGUCCGAUUUAGCCAUGCUAGUCGUGCGGGUUCAGACCCGCGGCGAAAAGCUCAGUAACACGUGGCCAAACUACCCUACAGAGGAGCAUACUCUCGGGAAACUGAGGAUAAUACUCCAUACCGCUCCCGCGCUGGAAUGCUGGGAGCUCGAAACGCUCCGGCGCUGUAGGAUGUGGCUGCGGCCGAUUAGGUAGACGGUGGGGUAACGGCCCACCGUGCCGAUAAUCGGUACGGGUUGUGAGAGCAAGAGCCCGGAGACGGAACCUGAGACAAGAUUCCGGGCCCUACGGGGCGCAGCAGGCGCGAAACCUUUACACUGCACGCACGUGCGAUAAGGGGACUCCGAGUGCGAGGGCAUAUCGUCCUCGCUUUUCUGUACCGUAAGGCGGUACAGGAAUAAGAGCUGGGCAAGACCGGUGCCAGCCGCCGCGGUAAUACCGGCAGCUCAAGUGAUGGCCAAUUUUAUUGGGCCUAAAGCGUCCGUAGCUGGCCAGGAAAGUCCGUCGGGAAAUCCACGUGCUCAACACGUGGGCGUCCGGCGGAAACUGCCUGGCUUGGGACCGGAAGACUCGAGGGGUACGUCCGGGGUAGGAGUGAAAUCCCGUAAUCCUGGACGGACCACCGAUGGCGAAAGCACCUCGAGAAGACGGAUCCGACAGUGAGGGACGAAAGCUAGGGUCUCGAACCGGAUUAGAUACCCGGGUAGUCCUAGCUGUAAACGAUGUUCACUAGGUGUGGCACAGGCUACGAGCCUGUGCUGUGCCGUAGGGAAGCCGAGAAGUGAACCGCCUGGGAAGUACGUCCGCAAGGAUGAAACUUAAAGGAAUUGGCGGGGGAGCACUACAACCGGAGGAGCCUGCGGUUUAAUUGGAGUCAACGCCGGA